AAAGAAAAUAUGAGGAUAUUUUAAUUCAAUUUUAAAAUAGUAAAAAUUUAAUAAUAAUUAUAAAUAAACCUUAGUAAUUCAUGAGCCUAAGGUAAAUUACAUUAGAAGGAUUAAACCUUGUUAGAAUAUUAGAAGGAUGGCCUAAUCUGUUUGAAUUGCGUGAAUUAAAAAUCCUUGAUUUGCAUAAGCUGGUGUCCCUUCAUGGCUUUAAACCUACACAUUGCAUGGACCUACAACAGAGAAAUGGCACAGGGAUGGAUUUUCAUUGGCUUGGAAUGGUAUCUCCACAAAAUUUUCCAACCUUAUUGAGCUUAUAAUGCAUGCAUGCAUGCAUGCAUGUAUCACAGUCUCCAAUCGGGUCCCAACUUGCUACAAGGAAAAUGAUAUAAAGGCAAAAGAUAUAUCCCAGAUUCGAGGAUGGAUGAAAUAAUCAGCACACGAGGGCCAAUACAUAGCAAUUAACAUUGUGCAAACAAAAGAAAAUGAUAACGAUCCCAAUAAACAAGGGGCAAAAGGAGAAGAAAGAAAUAGGGAAUUCUGCUACGUGUAGCCCACACUCUGGACCAAGAAAAUGAUAAACUGAUAGAAAGGCGUUCCGAAGGUAUAAGUUGAGGACAUAUACAAACAGUGAUGUGACCCAAGAUUAGGACUUGUGAAGAUAAUGCCACAUUUGGAGAGAGAUAGGGUGAGGGAGAAAAACAUGGUGAUUCAUAAAUAAAGCACAAAGCAAAAUAUAAAAAGAAGGGCAACAAAAAAAAAAUCUGGGGCCUAGAUGAUGUUACUGUUGGGACAUGCUCAUAGCAGUAUCAAGGUUUCAUACCAGAAGAAAAAUAAAAAAAGAUUGUUUGUGAUCUAAUAUUCUUUCUGGAUUUGAUUUUCUUUCGAGUUUCAGACAAAAGACCAGUUAAUGAACAUGAAGCAAAUGCAGUGAGCAGUCUCCUCUUCGUUUAACACUUUCCAUGCUACUGCUCUUUCAUAGGAAAUUGGCCUUCCCAUACUUGACAGGCAGAUACCACCCUGAAGGCACAUAAAGCCCUGCUAACAUAAUUGGCAGUAAGUUAAUCGACUGUAUUCAAAUAAAACACAAGAAAGGCAACUGCAGUGGCAAUUCUUUUCUCUUAAUGAAUCAAUGAUGUUGCUUGAUUAAUUAUGAGCUGACAACUUGAAGUAUCAGAGUUAGCACUCUCAGGCCACACUAAAAGCAGCAAAAUAUAAGGCUUUCAUUGAAAGAAACUGGGAGAGUUUAGGCUUUGAUUCAAGGUCUUUCUGCUCACAUUGUAUAUAUCCACUUGCCUAGAGUUAAAUUUUGACAGGUCCACUUACUUGUAUAUACUAAAGCAGUCUAGACAUUCGUGAUGUUUGGAAGAAUUUGAGUUUUCUUAGGUUCUCUUCUUUUUAUUGUACAGUGAUUUAAGUUUAAUGGAUUUCAUAGUACUAUACCUGCUGCAUUAUUUGCGGGAACUCUGAGCAUAAAGUUUUCCUUCCAUUGUCAUCAAAUAUCUUUUCCAAAGUGAUGUCUUGAAGAGCAACCAAAGUUGUCUCGAGCAUAUCUAGUCCUGCCUGAUUUGCAAAUGUAAAAACUGGCAGAGCCUGCAUGUAACAUUACACAUGUUUUAUCAUAUCUAAUGCAUACAUACAUAAAUAUCUAUGCGAUGAAAUAAUUUAAAGAAAAAAUAACAAAAUACUGGGAAAUAAAUAUAACAUGACCAUCAUAAAUACUAACAGUUCAUGAUUAGCAUGGUUGAUUUGUCAAUAGAUAUUUUUCCAAGCAGCUAAGCAGAUAGGCCAACAGCAGGAGAAGAUUUAAGAAGCUAACGCUUAGAGGACAGGGAAAGCACCAAUUGCAUUGUAGGAAAAAACCUUCAUAAUCUCUUAAUUAUUGUCCAUUUUUUUUCUUCCUUUUUGUCAAAACUAUGGUGCUUAGCAAAUUGAACAAAAUAAAUCUGCAAAAUAUCUAUAGGGAACAUAUGCUUUGGGUAUACGCAGAGAAUGAAAUGCAUCUACAAGUUGAAGAAAAUACCUUCAAAGAGCAGCACAUAACUGCAUCAGAGUGAUGCCAAAGUGAUUUCAGAAUGGAUUCACUUCCUUCACUUUUAAGUAGCUCCACACCUAGAUAGCACCUAUAGCUUUGACAUAUCCAACGAGCAAGUGUGUGCGCUUCUGGAGUGCCAGGUGGCGGCCGAAGACCAGCAUGGGAACCAAAACGAGAAGGAGAGAGGGCCAAUGCCACCCUUUGAACAGAUGCAAUAACGCUGCGGACAUACUGCCGAGCCAUGGAUGCUACAUUUUCUUGAAGGUGGAGUUCAAAUGCAAAUUGGAAUGCUAUUGUCAUCACUGAUUUUGAGCUCCCACAAUGGCCUGAAAAAUCACCAGAUGCUUUAUUUCCAGCAGGUCCAACGUCAAGAGCAGAGGCAAGGUCAAGUGUCCGGUUUGGGCUUGUAGCAUCCAUCCUGGAAUCAAGAGGAAUGAUGCGGAACCCUGAAGGAAUAAUAGGUGCAUCAUCCGAAAAAGAGGCAUCAAUGGGAGCAAAGAUGAGUUCAGCACAGGUACCAACAGCAUUCUCAUCUACUCCGCUACAAAGUUGCAAGAGGAAGAUGUCACCAGGCAUCAUCAUGUCCUCCCGAUAUCCCAUAUUUUCAAGUUUAAUUACCUCCAUAAACUCUUCAUGCUCAAUAGUGUGAGCCAACGGAAGAAUAACUUGACCCCCGAAAUUUCCAGCUCGAGACACUGGCAAGGUACAGGGACCAGCUUUAACAGCAGCAGCUGCAUAAGCAUCUAUACCACUGUCUGCCCAUUCUGAUCGAUGUUCACGCAGGAACCUAAGGAGUAUUGCUGGAGGCACAUUCUGUAACAACAUGGAUGCUUUUGCACAAAGCACACCAUUGCUCAUAGAUGGAAAUCCAUUAGCAUAAGAGAUAUUAAGACCCAUCAUUUUGCCAGGAGAUGAGUUCACAAGAACUGUAACAUCAUCAAUGCCAUCACUUUCCAACAUAGACCACCCAUCAUCAGUAAACCCAUUAACAGCUUCGUUAAAGCCCUUGCUUAGUCGCUGACUGAGUGCACGUAAAGCGGCAGGUCUUCUCCCCCAGCCAGAGGCAUUUGGCUGAGAAACUUCAUGAGAAAUUUGCCUCAAAUGUCGUAAAGCCGCCAUUGUUGUCUUCUGAGCUAGUAAUGUUGGUGACUCGUAAAGUGGGCGCAACACUUCAGGC
rnacentral:misc_RNA from 1 species